GUCGCAAGAUUAAAACUCAAAGGAAUUGACGGGGACCCGCACAAGCGGUGGAUGAUGUGGAUUAAUUCGAUGCAACGCGAAAAACCUUACCUACCCUUGACAUGUCCGGAAUCCUGAAGAGAUUUGGGAGUGCUCGCAAGAGAGCCGGAACACAGGUGCUGCAUGGCUGUCGUCAGCUCGUGUCGUGAGAUGUUGGGUUAAGUCCCGCAACGAGCGCAACCCUUAUCCUUAGUUGCCAUCAUUCAGUUGGGCACUCUAAUGAGACUGCCGGUGACAAACCGGAGGAAGGUGGGGAUGACGUCAAGUCCUCAUGGCCCUUAUGGGUAGGGCUUCACACGUCAUACAAUGGUCGGUACAGAGGGUUGCCAACCCGCGAGGGGGAGCUAAUCUCACAAAGCCGAUCGUAGUCCGGAUCGCAGUCUGCAACUCGACUGCGUGAAGUCGGAAUCGCUAGUAAUCGUGGAUCAGCAUGUCACGGUGAAUACGUUCCCGGGUCUUGUACACACCGCCCGUCACACCAUGGGAGUGGGUUUCACCAGAAGUAGGUAGUCUAACCGCAAGG
rnacentral:rRNA from 1 species